CAGCCGCCGCGGUAAUACCGGCGGCCCGAGUGGCGGCCACUAUUAUUGGGCUUAAAGCGUCCGUAGCCGGGGUGGUUAGUCUCCCGGGAAAUCUGGCCGCUUAACGGUCAGAAUUCCGGGAGAUACUGCCAGCCUAGGGACCGGGAGAGGCCGAGGGUAUUCCCGGAGUAGGGGUGAAAUCCUAUAAUCCCGGGAGGACCACCUGUGGCGAAGGCGCUCGGCUGGAACGGGUCCGACGGUGAGGGACGAAGGCCAGGGGAGCAAACCGGAUUAGAUACCCGGGUAGUCCUGGCUGUAAACGAUGCGGACUUUGUGUCGGACAAGCUAUGAGCUUGUCCGGUGCCGGAGGGAAACCGUUAAGUCCGCCGCCUGGGGAGUACGGCCGCAAGGCUGAAACUUAAAGGAAUUGGCGGG
rnacentral:rRNA from 1 species